rnacentral:rRNA from 1 species
CCUACGGGAGGCAGCAGUGGGGAAUAUUGGGCAAUGGAGGCAACUCUGACCCAGCAACGCCGCGUGAAUGAUGAAGGUCUUCGGAUUGUAAAGUUCUGUGAUGGGGGAUGAACACAAUGACGGUACCCCAAUAGCAAGCCACGGCUAACUACGUGCCAGCAGCCGCGGUAAUACGUAGGUGGCAAGCGUUAUCCGGAAUGACUGGGCGUAAAGGGUGCGUAGGUGGUUUAGUAAGUUGGCGGUGUAAUUCCGGGGCUCAACCUCGGCGCUACCGCCAAAACUAUUAGACUAGAGUGCAGGGGGGGUAAGUGGAAUUCCUAGUGUAGCGGUGGAAUGCGUAGAUAUUAGGAGGAACAUCAGGGGCGAAGGCGACUUACUGGACUGUAACUGACACUGAGGCACGAGAGCGUGGGGAGCAAACAGGAUUAGAUACCCCAGUAGUC